UUGUAAAAUACAGAACUCUGACAUAAAUGUCAACAGUAUAAAAAAUAUUCUCCAAAAUAAUAACUAUGAUUAACAUGCUUCAAAAAUAUCUAGGUCAUCGGUCAUAAAGACACACAACAAACAGUAUUAAAGGCACUAAAUAACAAUUAAGAAGCUUGCAAAGUAUGUAAAUGAUGUACAAAUCAUUUAAUAUAAUUCUUCUCCUUUACACAAAGAUGACAGUAGAUAGUCAUAUAUGUUGCUAUUUUAAUUAAUGCCCUCUUGUUUUAAAAACUAUUAAACAUUCAUUGGAUAUUUUACCAUCCAGACUU
rnacentral:lncRNA from 1 species